rnacentral:lncRNA from 1 species
GUUGACUAUCCUUUCCUUCCUGCCCCUUGGAAUGCAAGAGUAAACCCUUAAGACCACGCUUUUUGUAAUGAUGACCAGACAAAAGUUUCAGCAGAUGUUAAUGCUUAUUGGAGGCUAGCUAUAUAAACAUGGGAUCCCUUUUUUAAAAAGAUGAACAAUAACAUAAAGCAUACAUGAAUGCUAUUGUAAAUUUGUGUUUGGUGAAGUUCUUCUUUGGUGAAGUUUACUGGGCUGUUUAUAAAAGAAGGAAAGGAAAGGGGUGGGGGAAAUCCCAGCACACUCAAGAUGAUAUAUUUCUCUUUGCUAAAGUUGAAAUGGUUGCUAGGCCUGUCCUUACUGGAUCUGCAAAAUAAUUAUCCUAUUUUUAAAUGGAUUUUCUCAGUUGGGGGAGGGAGAGUUGAGUUAGUAGUGAGCAAGAGCUAACACAAUACAGGUACAGUACUUGACUAGUCCUCAGUAAUUGUGAACAAAUUAAGCUGACCAGCCAAAAGACUGCCCCCUUCUGGGAGCUCUACAACCAUGCUUUCCUCUUUCCUUAUUUAGCUGGAGGCAGCAAAACCAGUAGACCUGUCAAGCCUCUGGUGGGUUGUGUUCAGCCUGGCAGCUCAGGGAUGAAUCUACCGGCUUGGCUCAGGUCAGUCUCUUCCCUCUGCAUUGCAAAGGGAGUUUGUACUUGAUGCGUUCUGGAAAGGAUUCUGGGGUGCCGCACAACAGAAGAGCACUUUGUAUAAGUAUCACAACAUGGUAGUCCACAUUUUUUUAUCCUUUGGUGACACACACUAGGCAGAGAUACUUGCAAACAGCUUUAAUUAAGGGAAAGUUUGCAGCUGUAGAUGAGCACACUCUUAGGUGUCUAAUGCCUUAUGUUCUAUACACAAUGUCAUAGUAGGCAGUGGGGAAUCUUCUAAUUAACAGCUUAGACGAGUGCUGGUGGCAAAGGCUUCCCUAUCUCUUUUCCUAUCUCUUCAUGCCUAGGAUUGCACAGAAGCAGCUAUUACACAGGUAGAGAGAAUUAGAGGGGUCCUACCUUCCAAAGUUGAUUUAUUUUUGAUGGGAUUAUUUGAGUCGGUUCUAAACAUUUUCAUUCAACAUUCUGCUCACUACAUAAUAGUACUAAUAAAGACAAAACUGUCAUCUUCA